UACGGGGGGGGCAAGCGUUGUUCGGAAUUACUGGGCGUAAAGGGCUCGUAGGUGGCCAACUAAGUCGGACGUGAAAUCCCUCGGCUUAACCGGGGAACUGCAUCUGAUACUGGAUGGCUUGAGUUCGGGAGAGGGAUGCGGAAUUCCAGGUGUAGCGGUGAAAUGCGUAGAUAUCUGGAGGAACACCGGUGGCGAAGGCGGCAUCCUGGACCGGCAUUGACGCUGAGGCGCGAAAGCUAGGGGAGCAAACGGG
rnacentral:rRNA from 1 species